rnacentral:rRNA from 1 species
GACGAACGCUGGCGGCGCGCUUAACACAUGCAAGUCGAACGGAAAGGCCUGCUUUCCCUUGUGGAUUGCGGGUACUCGAGUGGCGAACGGGUGAGUAACACGUGAGUGAUCUGCCCCCAACUUGGGUAUAAGCCUGGGAAACUGGGUCUAAUUCCCGAUAGGACUGCAGGGUGGUGCCUGUGGUGGAAAACGAUUUUCUAGUGGUUGGGGAUGAGCUCGCGGCCUAUCAGCUUGUUGGUGGGGUAAUGGCCUACCAAGGCGGCGACGGGUAGCCGGCCUGAGAGGGUGGACGGCCACAUUGGGACUGAGAUACGGCCAAGACUCCUACGGGAGGCAGCAGUGGGGAAUAUUGCACAAUGGGCGGAAGCCUGAUGCAGCGACGCCGAGUGGGGGAUGACGGCCUUCGGGUUGUAAACUCCUUUCGACCGCGAGGAAGCCACCUGGUUGGAAGGGUGGUGACGGUAGUGGUAGAAGAAGCACCGGCUAACUACGUG